rnacentral:rRNA from 1 species
UACGGGGGGGGCAAGCGUUGUUCGGAAUUACUGGGCGUAAAGGGUUCGUAGGUGGCUUGCUAAGUCAGACGUGAAAUCCCUCAGCUUAACUGGGGAACUGCGUCUGAUACUGGCGAGCUUGAGUGCAGGAGAGGAACGCGGAAUUCCAGGUGUAGCGGUGAAAUGCGUAGAUAUCUGGAGGAACACCGGUGGCGAAGGCGGCGUUCUGGACUGCAACUGACACUGAUGAACGAAAGCCAGGGGAGCGAACGGG